rnacentral:rRNA from 1 species
UCUGGAAACGGAUGGUAAUACCUCAUGACAUAUCGGGACCGCAUGAUUCUGAUAUCAAAGAUUUAUCACUCUGAGAUGGGCUCGCGUCUGAUUAGCUAGAUGGUGAGGUAACGGCCCACCAUGGCGACGAUCAGUAGCCGGACUGAGAGGUUGAACGGCCACAUUGGGACUGAGACACGGCCCAGACUCCUACGGGAGGCAGCAGUGGGGAAUAUUGCACAAUGGGGGAAACCCUGAUGCAGCGAUGCCGCGUGGAGGAAGAAGGUUUUCGGAUUGUAAACUCCUGUCUUAAAGG